UACCAUUUUAGAUAGAUAUAAAUAACACAUUUUGUAAUUUUUCUAAACUGUGGUUAUACAGCAUGAUAUAAUAGCUACACAGGGUAUGGCGAAACAGUAUACAGCAAUAUCUGUCGCACUGUCUGAGAUGGGUGGUAGUCAUACAUAGCUUAAUGCUUAAAUUUGUUAUGUGUUAUUUAUUUAUUCAUGUUUUUUUAUUAUUAUUAUUAUUAUUAUUAUUAUUAUGUUAUAGCAGUUUAUUUCUUUCAUUCUUAGGUCCGGAAGUGAAAAAUUUGACUUUUCUACGCCAGAAGUUACAGCUAAUGUUCCUAAGACAAACCAGGCUUUCCUGAGUUCUGAUCUGGACAUUUCAGUUAUUGACUCUGACGUAGAAAUACAAGCUCUCUUUUGGGCACUUUUUAAUACAAUGACAGACAAGAAACACACUGGAAAUUCUGAAAAAGAUGAAAGGCAGGUGCUAUUCCUCGGUUUAUAGCAGAAUCGUAUACAAUCGUUACACAGACCGUGAAUGAUAUACG